UAAGGAAUAUUGGUCAAUGGACGCAAGUCUGAACCAGCCAUGCCGCGUGAAGGAUUAAGGUCCUCUGGAUUGUAAAACUUCUUUUAUCUGGGACGAAAAAAGGCGAUUCUUCGUCACUUGACGGUACCAGAUGAAUAAGCACCGGCUAACUCCGUGCCAGCAGCCGCGGUAAUACGGAGGGUGCAAGCGUUAUCCGGAUUCACUGGGUUUAAAGGGUGCGUAGGCGGGCAGGUAAGUCAGUGGUGAAAUCCUAGAGCUUAACUCUAGAACUGCCAUUGAUACUAUCUGUCUUGAAUAUUGUGGAGGUAAGCGGAAUAUGUCAUGUAGCGGUGAAAUGCUUAGAUAUGACAUAGAACACCUAUUGCGAAGGCAGCUUACUACGCAUAUAUUGACGCUGAGGCACGAAAGCGUGGGGAUCAAACAGGAUUAGAUACCCUGGUAGUCCACGCCCUAAACGAUGAUUACUCGACAUUUGUGAUACACUAUAAGUGUCUGAGCGAAAGCAUUAAAGUAAUCCACCUGGGAAGUACGACCGCAAGGUUGAAACUCAAAGGAAUUGACGGGGUCAUAGCUGUUUCCUG
rnacentral:rRNA from 1 species